AAAUUAUAUAAGCAUGUCAAAAAUAUUGUGCUAUGUUAAUACAUGUAAUGUUGUUUUUAUUCUCAAGGAUCGUCCAGGGAUGUUACAUGUUUAAAAUGCAAACGGGAGAGAAGGGAACAUCUUACGAGGGAGGUGCGUGAUUUAGUUUCAAAGCAUGGUUGUCUUGAAGUGGCUGGCAAAGAGCUUCUAGGAUGGUAUAUGAUGCUUUCUGAAGACGACAGAAAAAUAAUUAAAGAAUCAGGGCACCUGACAGAGUUCCUACAGGACGAUACUACUUUGCUGGUAGACAACAACUGGGUGAUGCUAAAGGGUAAGUAAAA